GUGGGGAAUUUUGGACAAUGGGCGCAAGCCUGAUCCAGCAAUGCCGCGUGCAGGAAGAAGGCCUUCGGGUUGUAAACUGCUUUUGUACGGAACGAAACGGUCCUGGCUAAUAUCCGGGGCUAAUGACGGUACCGUAAGAAUAAGCACCGGCUAACUACGUGCCAGCAGCCGCGGUAAUACGUAGGGUGCGAGCGUUAAUCGGAAUUACUGGGCGUAAAUCGUGCGCAGGCGGUGCUGUAAGACAGGCGUGAAAUCCCCGGGCUCAACCUGGGAAUUGCGCUUGGGACUGCAGUGCUGGAGUGCGGCAGAGGGGGAUGGAAUUCCGCGUGUAGCAGUGAAAUGCGUAGAUAUGCGGAGGAACACCGAUGGCGAAGGCAAUCCCCUGGGCCUGCACUGACGCUCAUGCACGAAAGCGUGGGGAGCAAACAGGAUUAGAUACCCGGGUAGUCC
rnacentral:rRNA from 1 species